GGCCACAUCAUGUUGAAACACCGGUUCUCAUAUGACCACUGAAGUUAAGCAACAUCAUGCCUGGUCAAUACCUAGAUGGGUAACCAUUUGGGAAUACCAGUUGCUAU